CCAACGGUACUUUUCAGUGCCACCAAAAUUACGGUAAAAUAGCACU
rfam:Danio rerio unplaced genomic contig NA835, GRCz11 reference primary assembly.